rnacentral:lncRNA from 10 species
CCGAAAACACCCGGAGACCAGGGACCCCGGUCCUCAUAGGCAGGCUCACACUUGUAGACAAUGGACCCAUAUUUUCCUCAUUAAAGACAAACCCAAAUCCGCCUAUGAGAGAUUACCCAGGGAAUGAGAGAUCCCAAGUACCGUGAAACUUAGAGGGUGCCUUAAAACUAAAGUGUUUUUAUUGGAUUGAACCAAAAAUAACUAUAAAUGUGUGUAUGUCAGAAUGUUAAUACCUUUUUAUAACCGUUAUUUCACCUUUAUAAUAACUGUGGGAGGGGGCAUCAUUUUUUCUUACUUUUGUUUUCCUGAUCCCCAUUUUACCAUAAAACAGAAACAAGCCCAGAAACAUUAUUAAGUGACUUAAGGUAAUCAGGAGCAGGUGCACUUCUCAGACUGUAAACGAGGGCAAUGUGACCACCGCAUCGCCACUCAUCUGUGCAGGGUGGCGUUGGGGGUGAGGGAAAUGCUAAGAGCACAACAUGGAUUGUUGGGGGGCAAAAACAACAAAUAAAUCAAUAAACAACUAUUUGUGAAAUAUGUGUACGGAGUCCUCGGGGCAGGGGGCUGGAUAUAAAGCCAAACUUAUCUCCCAUGCUCCGUGGUCCACUCCCCAUGACUCCUUCACCUCUCCAGCCUAGUCUGAAAUUCUCCCUCAGGCACUUUCAGAUGAUAUGAAAAAUUCUUCCACAGCUAGCCACUGUCAGGAAAAAAAUGAUUUGGAAACUGUUGUACGGUGCACAUGGACAAUGCAUACCUGCAGAUAUUUUCAAAGGACACGUGCUCUUGUGAUACAUUAUGUUGUCGGGCAUAUAUGGAAGGCAUCCUGGGAUUAACUCUGGUGACUGAAGGAAACAGCACUCCUUUUCACCGUUUACAGCCACUGCGUGUACCCGGCCUGCAGUGAGAGUGGGGGAGGGAACAUUUGCCAGCCUUUCUGGAGAUCCAGCAGCCAGAAGAAAGCCAAGAAACUCAGAGCUGUAAGUCACCUGGGGAAAUGGAGAGUUCUGUUUGUAAAAUACACAUCCACAACAAUGUCUCAGCCCUAUUUUGAAAUUCCUCAUGGGAAGGUGUGCGUGCAUAUGCCAAAAUGUAAUCUUAGGUAUGAGAGCUAGAACCGGAGAUGUGGAGAGGAGUUACAAAGUGCGCUUUUAAAACAUGAUGUCUAGAUUUCCUCUAAAAUAUUUCAGCAAGAAAUGAAAACAGAAAGAUGAAUGAAGCAAGUGUGGCAAAACCUUGGUAACUGUUACAUGUAGGUGAUGGGCGUAUGAGAGCGUAUACUCGCUCCACGUUGGUAUACUAUGAAACUUUUUUCGUAAUAACAAAUAUAAAAAGAUCCUGCAGCCCCGGCUGAGACGCCCCGAUCCACCUGGUGCCUCCCCUUUGUAUCAAGCCGGCCCCACAACGACCCCUCAAGCUCCUUCCUGUCUUGCAGACUUCUACCAGGACGAGUUUAGACAGCUGCAAGGGUGUUCUUAAGAAGCUAAAAGAAAUGAAAAAUCACAAUUUUUAAAAAUCGCUGUCUUUCUGUCCCUGUAGCCACCGAAAGACGAGGGCACCUCCAGGAGCUCCGGGACAACUUACAAAUGAAGACACAGAGCCCCCGUCCCUUGCUUCAGAGAACCAAAUAACGGAACUGAAUGAUCGUUUCUUCAGCAAAGCCUAAAGACGCUUGCGUCCCGCGGAGAGGUGCCCACGCGCGACUCGGCUGCCCCCUCUUCUUGCGGGUCCGGAGGAUGCUGGAGGACAAAAGAAAUAUUUGGACGUCAGAGCUGAUUUAUAUUUUUGGAAGAGCUACGUUUCCUUUUCU